AGGAGGGGGGAGGGGCGUGGGGGAAAGGGGGGGGGAUGACGUCAGCACAAAAGGGGCGGAGCCUCAAGCUCCUCCCCCUCCCAUUUUCCCGCCUUUUUCCAAGCCACGCCCACCCCCAUUCACAAAAGCCCCUCCCACACUUCCAUAUUUGGCGUUUAGGGGGCGGAGACUUCCGGAAAGGGGGCGGGUCCGGCGGCUGCCCCACAAGUCAAGCUCUGGGGGGGGUUCAAAGUUCCUUUUUCUGCCCCAAAAAACCCAAAUUUUGGGGUCUUGAAAGUCCAUUUUUCAGCCCCAAAAAUGGCAAAUUUUGGGGUCUUAAAAGUCCAUUUUUCUGCCCCAAAAAUCAGAAGUUUUGGGGUCUUAAAAGUCCGUUUUUCUGCCCCAAAUAUUUGAAUUUUUGGGUCUUGAAAGUUCCUUUUUCUGCCCCAAAAAUCGGAAAUUUUGGGGUCUUGAAAUUCCAUUUUUCUGCCCCAAAAAUGGCAAAUUUUGGGGUUUUAAAGUUGAUUUUUUCUCCUCUAAAAGUUGAAGUUUUGGGGUCUUAAAAGUUCCUUUUUCUGCCCCAAAAAUGGCAAAUUUUGGGGUCUUAAAAGUCCAUUUUUCUGCCCCAAAAACCAGAAAUUUUGGGGUCUUAAAAGUCCAUUUUUGUGCCCCAAAUAUUUGAAUUUUUGGGUCUUGAAAGUUCCUUUUUCUGCCCCAAAAAUCGGAAAUUUUGGGGUUUUAAAGUCAAUUUUUUCUCCUCCAAAAGUUGAAGUUUUGGGGUCUUAAAGUUCCGUUUUUCUGCCCCAAAAAUGGGAAAUUUUGGGGUCUUUAAUUCGAUUUUUCUGCCCCAAAAAUCACAAAUUUUGGGGUCUUAAAAGUCCAUUUUUCUGCCCCAAAAAACGCAAAUUUUGGGGUCUUAAAAGUCCAUUUUUCUGCCCCAAAAAUCGGAAAUUUUGGGGUCUUAAAAGUUCAUUUUUCUGCCCCAAAAAUCGGAAAUUUUGGGGUUUUCAAGUCAAUUUUUUCUCCUCCAAAAGUUGAAGUUUUGGGGUCUUGAAAGUUCCUUUUUCUGCCCCAAAAAUCGGAAAUUUUGGGGUCUUAAAAGUUCCUUUUUCUGCCCCAAAAAACGCAAAUUUUGGGGUCUUAAAAGUCCAUUUUUCUGCCCCAAAAAUCGAAAUUUUUUGGGUUUUAAAGUCAAUUUUUUCUCCUCCAAUAGUUGAAGUUUUGGGGUCUUAAAGUUGCGUUUUUCUGCCCCAAAAAUCGGAAAUUUUGGGGUCUUAAAAUUGAUUUUUUCUCCUCUAAAAGUUGAAGUUUUGGGGUCUUAAAGUUCCUUUUUCUGCCCCAAAAAUCGGAAGUUUUGGGGUCUUAAAAGUUCAUUUUUCUGCCCCAAAAAUCAGAAAUUUUGGGGUCUUGAAAGUUCAUUUUUCUGCCCCAAAAAUCAGAAGUUUUGGGGUCUUAAAAGUCCAUUUUUGUGCCCCAAAUAUUUGAAUUUUUGGGUCUUGAAAGUUCCUUUUUCUGCCCCAAAAAUCGAAAUUUUUUGGGUUUUAAAGUCAAUUUUUUCUCCUCCAAAAGUUGAAGUUUUGGGGUCUUAAAGUUCCGUUUUUCUGCCCCAAAAAUCGGAAGUUUUGGGGUCUUAAAAGUCCAUUUUUCUGCCCCAAAAAUGGCAAAUUUUGGGGUCUUAAAAGUCCAUUUUUCUGCCCCAAAAAUGGCAAAUUUUGGGGUCUCAAAGUUGAUUUUUUUGCCCCGAAAAUCCGAAGUUUUGGGGUCUUAAAAGUCCAUUUUUGUGCCCCAAAUAUUUGAAUUUUUGGGUCUUGAAAGUUCCUUUUUCUGCCCCAAAAAUCGGAAAUUUUGGGGUCUUGAAAGUUCCUUUUUCUGCCCCAAAAAUCGGAAGUUUUGGGGUCUUAAAAGUUCCUUUUUCUGCCCCAAAAAUCAGAAAUUUUGGGGUCUUGAAAGUUCAUUUUUCUGCCCCAUAAGUGAAGCUGGGGGUCGCUGGAGUUUGGUUUCUGCCCCACAAGUGGAUUUUGGGGUCUUAAAGUCGAUUUUUCUGCCCCACAAGUGAAUUUUUGGGGUCUUAAAAUCCAUUUUCUGCCCCACAAGUGACACUUGGGGGUCGCUGGAAUCCGUUUCUGCCCCAUAGAUGAAACUUUGGGGUCUCAAAGUCCAUUCUCUGCCCCACAAGUGAAACUUGGGGGUCUCAGGCUCCAUUCUCUGCCCCAUAAGUGAAACUUGGGGGUCUCAGGCUCCGUUCUCUGCCCCAUAAGUGGAACUUGGGGGUCGCUGGAAUCCGUUUCUGCCCCAUAAGUGAACUUUGGAGUCAUUGGAGUCCUCUCUCUGCCCCAUAAGUGGAGUUGGGGGGUCUCAGGCUCCGUUCUCUGCCCCACAAGUGGAACUUGGGGGUCACUGGAAUCCGUUCCUGCCCCAUAAGUGGAGUUUGGGGUGGUUGGAGUCGAUUUUCUGCCCCACAAGUGGAAAUUUGGGGUCUCAAAGUUCAUUUUUCUGCCCCAUAAGUGAAAGUUGGGGGUCACUGGAAUCCGUUUCUGCCCCAUAGAUGAAAUUUUGGGGGUCUCAAAAUCCAUUUCCUGCCCCACAAGUGGAACUUGGGGGUCUCAGGCUCCGUUUCUGCCCCACAAAUUGAAUUUUGGGGGCCUCAAAGUCCAUUUCCUGCCCCACAAGUGGAACUUUGGGGUCUCCAGGUGCCCCACAAGUGAAUUUUGGGGGUCCAAGUCUCGUUCUCUGCCCCACAAGUGGAACUUGGGGGUCUCAGGCUCCGUUUCUGCCCCAUAAGUGAAACUUGGGGGUCACUGAAGUCGAUUUCUGCCCCAUAAGUGGAAUUUUGGGGGUCUCAGGCUCCGUUUCUGCCCCAUAGAUGAAACCUCGAGGUCUCAAAGUCCAUUCUCUGCCCCACAAGUGGAACUUGGGGGUCACUGGAAUCCGUUUCUGCCCCACAAGUGGAACUUGGGGGUCUCAAAGUCCGUUCUCUGCCCCACAAGUGGAAUUUUGGGGGUCUCAAGGUCCAUUUCCUGCCCCACAAGUGGAACUUGGGGGUCACCGAAGUCGAUUUCUGCCCCACAAGUGGAACUUGGGGGUCACUGGAAUCCGUUUCUGCCCCACAAGUGGAACUUGGGGGUCUCAAAGUCCAUUUCCUGCCCCACAAGUGGAACUUGGGGGUCACUGAAGUCGAUUUCUGCCCCACAAGUGGAACUUGGGGGUCACUGAAGUCGAUUUCUGCCCCACAAGUGGAACUUGGGGGUCUCAAAGUCCGUUCUCUGCCCCACAAGUGGAAUUUUGGGGUCUCCAGGUGCCCCACAAGUGAAUUUUGGGGGUCUCAAGCUCCGUUCUCUGCCCCACAAGUGCAACUUGGGGGUCACUGCAGUCGAUUUCUGCCCCAUAGAUGAAAUUUUGGGGGUCUCAAAGUCCGUUCUCUGCCCCAUAAGUGGAACUUGGGGGUCCAAGUCUCGUUCUCUGCCCCACAAGUGGAACUUGGGGGUCUCCAGGUGCCCCACAAGUGGAACUUGGAGGUCUCAGGUUCCAUUCUCUGCCCCACAAGUGAAUUUUGGGGGGUCCAAGUCCCGUUCCUGCCCCACAAGUGGAACUUGGGGGUCACUGAAGUCGAUUUCUGCCCCACAAGUGGAACUUGGGGGUCACUGGAAUCCAUUUCUGCCCCAUAAGUAGAACUUGGGGGUCUCAAGGUCCAUUUCCUGCCCCACAAGUGGAAUUUCGGGGUCUCAAAGUCCGUUCUCUGCCCCACAAGUGGAACUUGGGGGUCUCAACGUCCGUUCUCUGCCCCACAAGUGGAAUUUUGGGGGUCUCAAGGUCCAUUUCCUGCCCCACAAGUGGAACUUGGGGGUCACUGGAAUCCAUUUCUGCCCCACAAGUGGAACUUGGGGGUCUCAACGUCCGUUCUCUGCCCCAUAAGUGGAACUUGGGGGUCUCAGGUUCCAUUCUCUGCCCCACAAGUGGAACUUGGGGGUCUCCAGGUGCCCCAUAAGUGAACUUUGGGGGUCUCAGGCUCCGUUUCUGCCCCACAAGUGGAAUUUUGGGGUCUCCAGGUGCCCCACAAGUGAAUUUUGGGGGGGUCCAAGUCCCGUUCUCUGCCCCACAAGUGGAACUUGGGGGUCUCAGGUUCCAUUUUCUGCCCCAUAGAUGAAAUCUUUGGGGUCUCAAGCUCCACUUCUGCCCCAUAAGUGGAAUUUUGGGGGUCUCAGGCUCCGUUCUCUGCCCCAUAAGUGGAACUUGGGGGUCACUGGAAUCCGUUUCUGCCCCACAAAUGAAAUCUUUGGGGUCUCAAGCUCCACUUCUGCCCCAUAAGUAGAACUUGGGGGUCUCAGGCUCCAUUUCUGCCCCACAAGUGAAAUUUGGGGGGUCCAAGUCCAUUCUCUGCCCCACAAGUGAAACUUGGGGGUCUCAGACUCCGUUUCUGCCCCACAAGUGGAACUUGGGGGUCUCCAGGUGCCCCACAAGUGAAUUUUGGGGGUCCAAGUCCAUUCUCUGCCCCACAAGUGGAAUUUUGGGGGUCCAAGUCCCGUUCUCUGCCCCACAAGUGGAACUUGGGGGUCACUGAAGUCGAUUUCUGCCCCACAAGUGGAACUUGGGGGUCUCAAAGUCCGUUCUCUGCCCCACAAGUGGAAUUUUGGGGUCUCCAGGUGCCCCACAAGUGAAUUUUGGGGGGGUCCAAGUCCCGUUCUCUGCCCCACAAGUGGAACUUGGGGGUCUCAGGCUCCGUUUCUGCCCCAUAAGUGGAAAUGGGGGGGGUGGAUCCGUGGGGGGGGUUCCGGAAGGUUCCGUGGGGCGGCGCUGGGUGCCCAAAAAAGAGACGUGUGGGGGGUCCGGGGGGGCUGGGGAGGGGUCCCAGAUCUAUGGGGCAGCCCCACAAGUGGGGUUUGGGUCAAAAAUCCCCGAUUUUGGGCAAAAAUCCCCAGAUUUGGGUCAAAAUUCCCAAUUUUUUGG